UACGAAGGGGGCUAGCGUUGUUCGGAUUUACUGGGCGUAAAGCGCACGUAGGCGGAUCGUUAAGUCGGGGGUGAAAUCCUGGAGCUCAACUCCAGAACUGCCUUCGAUACUGGCGAUCUUGAGUCCGGAAGAGGUGAGUGGAACUCCUAGUGUAGAGGUGGAAUUCGUAGAUAUUAGGAAGAACACCAGUGGCGAAGGCGGCUCACUGGUCCGGUACUGACGCUGAGGUGCGAAAGCGUGGGAGCAACGGGG
rnacentral:rRNA from 1 species